GUGCUCGCUUCUGCAGCACAUAUACUAAAAUAGGAAUGAUUACAUGGCCCCUGGGCAAGGAUGACACACCAAUUCAUGAAGGGUUCCAUAUUUUU
rnacentral:snRNA from 1 species